UACGUAGGGACCGAGCGUUGUCCGGAUUCAUUGGGCGUAAAGAGCUCGUAGGCGGCUGUUCAAGUCGAACGUGAAAACUCGGAGCUACAACUCCGAGCCUGCGUUCGAUACUGGACGGCUAGAGUCUGGUAGGGGGAUCUGGAAUUCCUGGUGUAGCGGUGAAAUGCGCAGAUAUCAGGAGGAACACCGGUGGCGAAGGCGGGUCUCUGGGCCGAUACUGACGCUGGAGGAGCGAAAGCUAGGGUAGCAAACGGG
rnacentral:rRNA from 1 species